GUAAGCUGGCCGAAAGGGCCUGAAAGCCCACCUGUCGCUGAGCUGCCAUAGGUGCGUGUUUAGCCAGACAGAUGGGUGCAUUGGCAACUCACACAGGACAGAAUGUGCUCUGAAUAGGAAGGCUACAAAUGUUUGCCUUUACUCCAGUCUCUCAAGUGCUUGUAAUUUUGAACCUUCACAGUUGCAAAAAUCAGUCAUUGAAGUUCGUGAUUUCUUCAUUCAGAAUUACCUAGGACAAAGAGAAUUUUCAGGCGAUGUUGCUAUCAUGCCAAAUGCUCCUUCACGCAAGUCCAUUUGCCUAUUUGUGGCAUUCUGGGGCCUGGCUCCGACGGGGAAAAUCACUGUUGUGUGGCCUCUGUAGGGUCUAAAUCAUUAUGUGUCCUCAGGAUGAAAAGGAAGGCCUUGUAGAAAUACACAAGCCUAAAGAGGAGCCUGAAGUGCCCAGCUGUAGAAGCCAUCCUGCCCUGAGGUGCUGGAGGGGAGUGGACGGCAGACAGGAGGGACCCCAGAACCCAGCUGUGCGCAGAGCCCCUUCAGGAAACACAGUGAAGCGCUAGGAGAUGUUGGCUAGCCUAAUCAAUCAAAGGUAGAGUUUCCCCCACAUUAACAUACGACUGGAAGCAGGG
rnacentral:lncRNA from 1 species